CGCCCGCUGUGUUUGCUUCCCCAUUCCUCAUAAUGGUGCGUACGUUUCGUUAACAAUGUGCAUUAGAUGGUGAUGUUACAUGAUAAGUAAAUGUUGAGCGUGUUGGCGGGUUUAAAUAAAAUAUUUUACUUGUCCUGCUCCGUUGGUUGUCUGGCUGGCUGGCUGGCUGGCUGGUUGGAUGGCAGAAUGGCUCACUGGCUGGUUAGUGCAGACUAUGAUCGGAUGCGCAUUUCCCUACGCCGCAGUGCCGGGUGCAUCAUACGUCGGUGUUGGGUUGCUGUUACUGGGCCGAGCGGAUGCGCGUGCACACGUGGGAAUAAACGACACGCAACCGUGGUAUUUUAUAUUGCAUCGGUACGAUUAUCGUGUUCAAAGGCUUUUUCGAGAAAUGCCAAUACAUAAAUCGGUUAGUCCGUUUAUAUCGGUUUCUCAAACCCCUGCAAGCAAUGGUCAAUCAUUUCAGUCUUAAACUUUUGACGAACGAAUGCCUGGUCGCUAGCUGCAGCUUUCCAUCGAUGUAGGCACACGAUCUUCGAGAUUUUACUUCACCUGAUCUAGCCAUCGAACUCGCUGUGCUUCCUUGCUUCUAGUACCGAACUGAGAGCCGCUCGAACACCUAGCUGCUGGGGCACGAGGCUGCCUUCUUCACAACAUGCUCCAGCCAUGGCAAACAGCCAUGUCCGGUGCGCCAUACGGCUUCAGUAAGCUCGUGGAUGAUCAUUCGCAUCCACACCCCAUGCUCGAAUUCACCGCCAAAGAUGAUCCGGAGGAUGCGUUGGCCGUCGUGUUUCGCCGCUGUCCUUUGCAUGCUGUAAAGAAACAUACCUAUUCAUUGUCGGCCAAUGGUGCAGCACGAGCGCAACGUGAUACAUCGUGACAUCAUCCGGAAAACUUGCAGCUGGG